rnacentral:rRNA from 1 species
UCAAAAUUUAUUUAUUAAUUUAUUUUGUUUUUAAAUUAAUGUAUUAAAAAUAAUUAUAUAAUUAAGUGUUUUAGUAGUUUUUAAUGAAAAAAUAAUUUUAAUAAUAGUUAAUUAGUAUUGUGAAAGAUAAUUGAAAUAUUUUGAAAAAUUUUUGUAUUAAAAGAAAAUUUAGUUUAUUGUACCUUGUGUAUCAGGGUUUAUCAAAUAAUUAAUAUAUAGAUAUAUUAAUCUCGAUUUUAUAAGAGUUAAUAAUUUAUUAAAGUUAAUGUGUCAAAAUUAUUUUAAAUAAAUUAUUAGAAAUGAAAUGUUAUUCGUUUAUAAAGGUAUCUAGUUUUUUUAGAAAUAAAUUUAAUUUACAGAUUUUUGAUUUUUUGGUUAUUUAUUUAAUUAAAAAAUUUAUUAAUUUGAAUAUCUUAAGGGAUAAGCUUUAAGAUAAAUUAUUAAAAAUUAAUAAUGGUGAUAUAAAAUAUAUGCUUAGAAUUAGCAAUUAUUUAAAAGUUUGUUAUAAAUUAUUUUAUAGAUUAUAUUAUUUAUUAUAUUUUAAUUUAUUUAUAAAAAUUUUUUUAUUAAUUAAGUAUAAAAAGUAAUAAUGAUAGAAUUAGUAUAUUUUUUUGUUUAUGUAAUUUUAUAUGAUAAGUUUGUAUAAAGAACUCGGCAAAAAUUUUACCCGCCUGUUUAACAAAAACAUGUCUUUUUGAGUUAUUUUUAA